rnacentral:lncRNA from 1 species
AAGGAAUGUCUCUUGGUACACCUUAGUUCCCUCAUGAUGGCGAUUUAGAAGCCUGACAUUGCCCACCCAGAUUCCAUGACUUCCUGUUUAGCCACAUGAUCUCUUCCUUUUUUUUUAUGAUUUCUCUUUACUCUCAACUAUCUGCAGCUGGGAAUCUCUGCAUUGACGAGUGUGAGCUCUUGGAGAUGGAGGAGAGAGAGAGAGGAGUAUUUUCUGCCCUUGUCAACUGCAGGAAGAAGGCUCUGCAUGGAGUCUCAGGGAAGAAUGGAUUCCACCGAUUGGACGAGCAGGCUGAGGAGGGCAAGCAGCCAGAAGAAGCUGAGUUCACUGCAGGAAUCCCAUCUGCUUCUCUGUACAUUAUGUGGCUUGUGUAUCUGCUUUGACAUUUGUUUUAUUAGUAUAUUUGAACAUGCUGGUUACGGU